UACGAAGGGGGCUAGCGUUGUUCGGAAUUACUGGGCGUAAAGCGCACGUAGGCGGAUAUUUAAGUCAGGGGUGAAAUCCCAGAGCUCAACUCUGGAACUGCCUUUGAUACUGAGUAUCUCGAGUAUGGAAGAGGUGAGUGGAAUUCCGAGUGUAGAGGUGAAAUUCGUAGAUAUUCGGAGGAACACCAGUGGCGAAGGCGGCUCACUGGUCCAUUACUGACGCUGAGGUGCGAAAGCGUGGGGAGCAAACAGG
rnacentral:rRNA from 1 species